ensembl:lncRNA
GAGUAGCCCAGUAGUAGAGAGUAGCACAGCCGUAGAGAGUAUCCCAGUAGUAGAGAGUAGCCCAGUCGUAGAGAGUAGCCCAGUCGUAGAGAGUAGCCCAGUAUUAGAGAGUAUCCCAGUAUUAGAGAGUAGCCCAGUAGUAGAGAGGAGCCCAGCAUUAGAGAGUAUCCUAGUAGUAGAGAGUAGCCCAGUAGUAGAGAGUAGCCCAGUCGUAGAGAGUAGCCCAGUCGUAGAGAGUAGCCCAGCAUUAGAGAGUAGCCCAGUCGUAGAGAGUAUCCCAGUAGUAGAGAGUAGCACAGCCGUAGAGAGUAUCCCAGUAGUAGAGAGUAGCCCAGUCGUAGAGAGUAGCCCAGUCGUAGAGAGUAGUCCAGCAUUAGAGAGUAUCCCAGUAUUAGAGAGUAGCCCAGCAUUAGAGAGUAGCCCAGUCGUAGAGAGUAUCCCAGUAGUAGAGAGUAGCACAGCCGUAGAGAGUAUCCCAGUAGUAGAGAGUAGCCCAGUCGUAGAGAGUAGCCCAGUCGUAGAGAGUAGCCCAGCAUUAGAGAGUAUCCCAGUAUUAGAGAGUAGCCCAGCAUUAGAGAGUAGCCAAGUCAUAGAGAGUAUCCCAGUAGUAGAGAGUAGCCCAGUAGUAGAGAGUAGCACAGCCGUAGAGAGUAUCCCAGUAGUAGAGAGUAGCCCAGUCGUAGAGAGUAGCCCAGUCGUAGAGAGUAGUCCAGCAUUAGAGAGUAUCCCAGUAUUAGAGAGUAGCCCAGCAUUAGAGAGUAGCCCAGUCGUAGAGAGUAUCCCAGUAGUAGAGAGUAGCCCAGUAGUAGAGAGUAGCACAGCCGUAGAGAGUAUCCCAGUAGUAGAGAGUAGCCCAGUCGUAGAGAGUAGCCCAGUCGUAGAGAGUAGCCCAGCAUUAGAGAGUAUCCCAGUAUUAGAGAGUAGCCCAGUCGUAGAGAGUAUCCUAGUAGUAGAGAGGAGCCCAGCAUUAGAGAGUAUCCUAGUAGUAGAGAGUAGCCCAGUAGUAGAGAGUAGCACAG